UACGAAGGGUGCAAACGUUGCUCGGAAUUAUUGGGCGUAAAGCGCACGUAGGCGGCAUUGCAAGUCGGAUGUGAAAUCCCUCGGCUUAACCAAGGAAGUGCAUCCGAAACUGCAGUGCUUGAGUACUUAAGAGGAUCGCGGAAUUCCCGGUGUAGAGGUGAAAUGCGCAGAUAUCAGGAGGAACACCGGUGGCGAAGGCGGGUCUCUGGACAGUUCCUGACGCUGAGGCACGAAGGCCAGGGGAGCAAACGGG
rnacentral:rRNA from 1 species